GAGAGCUCACAGCCAAUUUCAUGAGACGGUGCUACAUUAUCGUGCCUUCUUGCAUGAGGAAUUCAAGGCCACAUGCGGUUUCGUCACUUGUCAAAGGUUAGUGUUGCUGAGGUUAGAACUGGGUCCCACUUUGAUCUGAUUCCAAAGCCUGAUCCCUUAACUAGUGUGUGGAGCUGACUGCAGGGAGACUGCUACACCCAGGAAGAGCUGCAGCUGUCUCAGGUGAGCUUUGGUUAGACCUCAUGAAACUGACCCUCUGGAGGGAAAGUGGGUGCUUCCCACAGUGCAUGGGUAGGAGGAGGUGGGGCACUUGGAGGGGUGAAGGGGCCAGGACAAGGUUCCAUGUGCUGCUAGAGUAUGAAGUGGCCCUGGUGAUAAAGGCUCUUGCUUUAAAGAAUGCUGUGGGUGUCACAGCUGUGUGCCCACUCAGUAUAGCAACUAAGGAAAAAGUCACCUAAAAUUAGACCUGAGUAUUAUUAGAGGUACAAAUUCAGUAAUUACCCACUCUCUAAUUCCUGCCGGAAAUAAGUAAAGCAAAGCCUGUUGCUUUUCACUAUGACUUGUGCCCUAAUCAUGAUAUCAUUCCCAUUGAACUUGAACUGGCUAUCUUUGUUUUCAGGUCUCAAUUAGGUCACAAAAUCCAUGCUCACUUAGAGAGCAAGAAAAAAAUGGAUACAUACACACACACACACACACACACACACACACACACACACACACAAGUUACUGACCACUGGCAUCUCAUCCCAAUGAUGCUGGAUGGGAAAUAACAGAAACCAAACAGGGACAAUGGUAGUGUUUCUUUCUCAGAGAUAAUCAGGGAAUAUGCUAGAAAGGUGGACUGACCUAUGAAGGGAAAAGAAGAAGAAAAGAAGGUAAAGGCUGAUUCAUCUCUGAAGGAGGUUGGAAAAGAAUGUAGUUUGACUGGAGAUGGCAAAGAAGAGCAAGAGUUAGGCUGAGGGAACAUCUUAAAACCAUUCAUCGGGAGAACUAGGAAAGGACACCUCUGGGCCUGCCUGUGAGCUGCUGCUAGAGAAGAUUAGCCGAGAACUGAGUGAAUGAGAGCCACCUUGAGAGGAGUGCCAUCUAACAGGCUGGAGGUCCGGGUGACGUGAGAAAGUAGAAAGGGGAAGCAAGCCCUGGAUUAUGAGUUUCUUCCCCAGUGGGUGUGGUUUGAUGCUGCCGAUUCAGAUGAACAUCACACUCCAGCAUCACACUCCAGCUUCUUCAGCCUUUGACAGACCUGCAGCAGUGAGAUGCAAGGACCUUGGAGGCCCUCACCCUCAGACCCAGGACAACCGUUGGCUUCUCAGUCUCUGUUCUCACAAGCAUCUUGUUCUGCGUUCCCUAGCUGACACCCAGCUCUCCAAUCUACAGAGGACUGCUGUGGCCCCACAGAGUACUCCAGACUAUUAGCUUCCUCUUGUUAUUGUAUAUAUUCCUUACCCUUAAUGGUCCCAAUACAAGGGUGAAUUAUCACUCUUCUCAGAUCUGUCACCAUCAAUCCAAUAAUGAAGAGAACCAUUUUCAUCUGAAUAAGCAAUUAACCUCCAAGGUAGGAUGGCUCAGUGAGAGUGCGGUCCUAUGCAACUACCAAAUUCUAUUGAGUUAAACAUUGUGCCUGCUCUUGCCAAGGAGUAAUCUACCAAAACACAAAGGCAUUAUUUAAGUGCUACUCAUAAAGAGAAAAAUAAUUCUAUAUUUAAUAUCAUCUAAAGGCAUUUGGCUUAUUAUACAAGCAUUAAUCAACUGUUACUAUUAUUUAUUAAUAGUGGCAGCGUGGAACCAAGGUCUACAGUGGCUGCUGAGGUCAGACUUGAAGAAAUGACUCACAUGCAAGGCUGAUCUACAUAAGUAGCCUGUGCUAAGACUGCCAUCUGGUAGAACAAUCUACAUCACACGACUCCACGUUUCCUGUUACCCAAGGUAAGUACAUUUCAAGCAUGAGGGAAAACUUUAUCAAGUUUCUCUAAGUCCCUUUACUUCGACACUAAAGUGGCUUACACAGGGAGGAGGGGAAGGGAAAGUACGAGGUGCAGGCUACUCUCUCAUCUCCCCAGAUUCCCUCUUCACAGAAGAGAAAGACUUUCUUAGCCAUUAUCACUCCUGUCAUUGAGUCUGUCAAAUUUGCCUACUUGCCCUUUAACAAUGCUCUUCAGGCAACAGAACAGGGAUUUGAGAUACCAUUGAAAAUGGAUGUAUUCAUUUGAGUUUCUCCCACCCCGCCUCCUACUACUUUCCCUCUCUUUCUCUAUGUAUUUUUCUUCCGUGUGUGUGUGUGUGUGUGUGUGUGUGUGUGUGUGUGUGUGUGUGCAUCUCCAUGCUCUGCAGGUGCAGCUUCGAUGGACCAUGGCCAUAUUGCCCCACUACUAUCAAUCACACUGAGAUGUAGUCCACAGCAUUCAACAAGCCACCACUCAUGGGAUAGAGGAUAGGCAAAAGGAACAACUAAGACAGUAGAGGAGCCCAGCACUCCGAACCCCUAAUCAUGCCUUCGGUGGAUUCCUUUGGUAAAGUUUUCCUUUGUGGGUUUCUUUCAGCACUUGACCCAUAGCCCAUGGAAUGUGUCAGCUCUAAUUGCCUGUGUGGAUUGGCACAAGUCGUGCCUCAAAAUUGGAAUGUUGUCACAUAUAACAUAGCCUUUCAGAGGGAUAA
rnacentral:lncRNA from 1 species